rnacentral:lncRNA from 1 species
AUGCUCAAAAUUCUCCAAGCCAGGCUUCAGCAGUACAUGAACCAUGAACUCCCUGAUGUUCAAGUUGGUUUUAGAAAAGGCAGAGGAACCAGAGAUCAAAUUGCCAACAUCUGGUGGAUCAUGGAAAAAGCAAGAGAGUUCCAGAAAAACAUCUAUUUUUGCUUUAUUGACUAUGCCAAAGCCUUUGACUGUGUGGAUCACAAUAAACUGUGGAAAAUUCUGAAAGAGAUGGGAAUACCAGACCACCUGACCUGCCCCUUGAGAAAUCUGUAUGCAGAUCAGCAAGCAACAGUUAGAACUGGACAUGGAACAACAGACUGGUUCCAAAUAGGAAAAGGAGUACGCCAAGGUUGUAUAUUGUCACCCUGCUUAUUUAACUUAUACGCAGAGUACAGCAUGAGAAACGCUGGAUUGGAAGAAGCACAAGCUGGAAUCAAGAUUGCCGGGAGAAAUAUCAAUCACCUCAGAUAUGCAGAUGACAUCACCCUUAUGGCAGAAAGUGAAGAGAAUCUAAAAAGCCUCUUGAUGAAAGUGAAAGAGGAGAGUGAAAAAGUUGGCUUAAAGCUCAACAUUCAGAAAACUAAGAUCAUGGCAUCUGGUCCCAUCACUUCAUGGGAUAUAGAUGGGAAAACAGUGGAAACAGUGUCAGACUAUUUUUGGGGCUCCAAAAUCACUGCAGAUGGUGACUGCCGCCAUGAAAUUAAAAGACGCUUACUCCUUGGAAGGAAAGUUAUGACCACCCUAGAUAGUAUAUUCAAAAGCAGAGACAUUACUUUGGCGACUAAGGUCCGUCUAGUCAAGGCUAUGGUUUUUCCUGUGGUCAUGUAUGGAUGUGAGAGUUGGACUGUGAAGAAGACUGAGCACCAAAGAAUUGAUGCUUUUGAACUGCGGUGUUGGGGAAGACUCUUGAGAGUCCCUUGGACUGCAAGGAGAUCCAACCAGUCCAUUCUGAAGGAGAUCAACCCUGGGAUUUCUUUGGAAGGAAUGAUGCUAAAGCUGAAGCUCCAGUACUUUGGCCACCUCAUGCGAAGAGUUGACUCAUUGGAAAAGACUUUGAUGCUGGGAGGGAUUGGGGGCAGGAGGAGAAAGGGACGACCGAGGAUGAGAUGGCUGGAUGGCAUCACGGACUCAAUGGAUGUGAGUCUGAGUGAACUCCGGGAGUUAGUGAUGGACAGGGAGGCCUGGCAUGCUGCGAUUCAUGGGGUUGCAAAGAGUCGCACACGACUGGGUGACUGA